rnacentral:rRNA from 1 species
GUCAAAUAAACGAAGGCUCACGGUGGAGACCUAGGUACUCAGAGACGAAGAAGGGCGCAGGUACCGGCGAAACGCUUCGGGGAGCUGGCAACGAGCUUUGAUCCGGAGAUUCCCGAAUAGGGCAACCUCUAGAACUACCUAUACAAUUCAUAGUUAGGAAAGAGACAACCUGGUGAACUGAAACAUCUUAGUAGCCAGAGGAAAAGAAAGCAAACGCGAUUCCCGUAGUAGCGGCGAGCGAAACGGGAACAGCCUAAACCAAUCUCAUCGAUUGGGGUAGUGGGAAGACAUAAUAUUUACGAAAAAAGAUCUAGACGAAGCAGCUGAAUCCUGCACCAUAGAUGGUGAAAGUCCAGUAGUCAAAAGCUUUACCUUCAAUUCUUUGUUCUCUUCGAGAACAAAAAUCUCUUAUGACAAAUAAGAGAUUGGAACACAUAAGAUUUGUCAUUUUCAAUGACAAAACUCUCUCAUCUUCGAUGAGAGAUAAGUGUGAGGAAAAACAAAAACACGAAUGUCUAAUCCCGAGUAGCAUGGGGCACGUGGAAUCCCGUGUGAAUCUGCGAGGACCACCUCGUAAGGCUAAAUAUUCCUGAGUAACCGAUAGCGAAAUAGUACCGCGAGGGAAAGGUGAAAAGAACCCCCGUAGGGGAGUGAAAUAGAACAUGAAACCGUCAGCUGACAAGCAGUGGGAGGGUAUUUGAUCCUGACCGCGUGCCUGUUGAAGAAUGAGCCGGCGACUUAUAGGAAGUGGCAGGGUUAAGAAGUUUCAUUCGUAGCCCAAGCGAAAGCGAGUCUGAAUGGGGCGCAACGUCACUUCUUAUGGACCCGAACCCGGAUGAUCUAACCACGACCAGGAUGAAGCUUGGGUAACACCAAGUGGAGGUCCGAACCGACCGAUGUUGAAAAAUCGGCGGAUGAGUUAUGGUUAGCGGAGAAAUUCCAAUCGAAUUCGGAGCUAGCUGGUUCUCCCCGAAAUGCGUUGAGGCGCAGCGGUGACGACGAACUUCCUUGGGGUAAAGCUCACUGUUUCGAUACGGGCUGCGAAAGCGGUACCAAGUCGUGGCAAACUCAGAAUACAAGGAAAUGUUUUCCGUCAACCAGUGAGACGGUGGGGGAUAAGCUUCAUCGUCAAGAGGGAAACAGCCCAGAUCACCAGCUAAGGCCCCUAAAUGGCCGCUAAGUGGAAAAGGAUGUGAGAAUGCUGAAACAACCAGGAGGUUUGCUUAGAAGCAGCCACCCUUCAAAGAGUGCGUAAUAGCUCACUGGUAAAGCGUUCUUGCGCCGACAAUGGCCGGGACUAAGCGGCCUGCCGAAGCUGUGAGAUUUUGUAUCUUCUCUCUUCCCUCUUAUCUUUGUCUUUGGUCUGUCCAAAAGAACCAAAGGGAAGACAUAAAAAGAGGUGUUUCAAUAAGAGACGAGUUGAACAAAAUCGGUAGGGGAGCGUUCUGCUUCGGGUGAAGCUUUCAUGUAAAUGGUAGUGGACGGAGCGGAAGUGAGAAUGUCGGCUUGAGUAACGAAAACAUUGGUGAGAAUCCAAUGCCCCGAAAACCUAAGGGUUCCUCCACAAGGUUCGUCCGUGGGGGGUGAGUCAGGACCUAAGGUGAGGCCGAAAGGCGUAAUCGAUGGCAAACAGGUUAAUAUUCCUGUACUGAUUUUGGUGGGGACCGAGGGACGAAGAAGGCUAAACUAGGUCUGUGCAUGGAAUGCAGUGGAAGCGUUUAGGUGAUGACAGGUAGAAUAAAAACUAUCCUGGAGCUGAGGCGUGAUCCCGCUCUCUGGAACUCGUUCCGGUUGAGCGCUAGUGAUGUCAGACUUCCAAGAAAAGCUCGUACACCUCUUUUUUGUUUGCAAAAAAGAUCCAACACCAAAAUCACCUGUACCUGAAACCGACACAGGUAGGUAGGUAGAGAAUACUGAGGGGCGCGAGACAACUCUCUCUAAGGAACUCGGCAAACUGGCCCCGUAACUUCGGAAGAAGGGGCGCCCUCUGCGAAGAGGGUCGCAGUGACCAGGCCCAGGCGACUGUUUACCAAAAACACAGGUCUCAGCAAAGUCGUAAGACAACAUAUUGGGGCCGAUGCCUGCCCAGUGCCGGAAGGUGAAGGAAGUUGGUUAUUCACUUUUGUGGAAAAGCUGACGACCGAAGCCCCGGUGAACGGCGGCUGUAACUAUGACAGUCCUAAGGUAGCGAAAUUCAUUGUCGAGUAAGUUUCGACCUGCACGAAAGGCAUAACGAUCUGGGCGCUGUCUCGGAGAGAGACUCGGUGAAAUAGACUUGUCCGUGAAGAUGCGGACUACUUGCAUUUGGACAGAAAGACCCUAUGAAGCUUCACUGCAGGCUGGCAUUGGGUUCGGGCUUUUCUUGCGCAGCCUAGGUGGGAGGCUUUGAAGGUUUCCUUCCGGGGAAGCUGGAGCCAUCAGUGAGAGACCACUCUGGAAAGGCUAGAAUCCUAAUGGUGAUCCUUGAAUCAGGACACUUGACAUUGUCAGCUAGACAGUUUUUCUGGGGCGGAAGGCUCCUAAAAGGUAACGGAGCUGUGCAAAGGUUCCCUCAGUCUGGACGGAAAUCAGACGUGGAGUGUAAAGGCAAAAGGGAGCUUGACUGCAAGACCUACAAGUCGAGCAGGAGCGAAAGCUGGCCUUAGUGAUCCGACGGUACCGUGUGGAAGGGCCGUCGCUCAACGGAUAAAAGUUACUCUAGGGAUAACAGGCUAAUCUUAUCCAAGAGUUCACAUCGACGAUAAGGUUUGGCACCUCGAUGUCGGCUCAUCACAUCCUGGAGCGGUAGUACGUUCCAAGGGUUGGGCUGUUCGCCCAUUAAAGUGGUACGUGAGCUGGGUUCAGAACGUCGUGAGACAGUUCGGUCCAUAUCCGAUGCAAGCGUUAGAGCAUUGAGAGGAGUCUUCCAUAGUACGAGAGGACCUGUGAAGAACAUGCCAAUGGUGUAUUAGUUAUCUUUCCAAAGGUAAACGCUAAGUAGCUACGCAUUGAGUGGAUAAGUGCUGAAAGCAUCUAAGUACGAAGCCCACCUCAAGAUGAAUGCUCUCUAUUAGGUCGCGGCAAGAACAGCCGUCGAUAGGUAUCAGGUGUAAGGUCAGCAAUGACUUCAGCCGAGAUAUACUAAAGGCCAAAUGAUUUUGAC